rnacentral:rRNA from 1 species
CCUACGGGAGUCAGCAGUGAGGAAUAUUGGUCAAUGGGCUUACGCCUGAACCAGCCAAGUCGCGUGAGGGAAGAAUGCCCUAUGGGUUGUAAACCUCUUUUGUCAGGGAGCAACGCCGGCUGAGUGUAGCCGGACUGAGAGUACCUGAAGAAAAAGCAUCGGCUAACUCCGUUCCUGCAGCCGCGGUAAUACGGAGGAUGCGAGCGGUCUCCGGAUUUAUUGGGUUUAAAGGGUGCGUAGGCGGAAUGCCAAGUCAGCGGGAAAAUCGCGGGGCUCAACCGCGCUCCGCCGUUGAAGCUGGCGUUCUUGAGUGGGCGAGAAGUAUGCGGAAGGCGUGGUGUAGCGGUG